rnacentral:rRNA from 1 species
UACGUAGGGGGCAAGCGUUGUCCGGAUUUAUUGGGCGUAAAGCGCGUGUAGGCGGCCACGCAGGUCCGCUGUGAAAACUCGAGGCUCAACCUCGAGCUGUCGGUGGAAACCGCGUGGCUAGAGUCCGGAAGAGGAGACUGGAAUUCCCGGUGUAGCGGUGGAAUGCGCAGAUAUCGGGAGGAACACCCGUGGCGAAGGCGGGUCUCUGGGACGGUACUGACGCUGAGACGCGAAAGCGUGGGGAGCGAACAGG